rnacentral:rRNA from 1 species
GAUGAACGCUGGCGGCGUGCCUAAUACAUGCAAGUCGAGCGGACGGACGAGAAGCUUGCUUCUCUGAUGUUAGCGGCGGACGGGUGAGUAACACGUGGAUAACCUACCUAUAAGACUGGGAUAACUUCGGGAAACCGGAGCUAAUACCGGAUAAUAUUUUGAACCGCAUGGUUCAAAAGUGAAAGACGGUAUUGCUGUCACUUAUAGAUGGAUCCGCGCUGCAUUAGCUAGUUGGUAAGGUAACGGCUUACCAAGGCAACGAUGCAUAGCCGACCUGAGAGGGUGAUCGGCGACACUGGAACUGAGACACGGUCCAGACUCCUACGGGAGGCAGCAGUAGGGAAUCUUCCGCAAUGGGCGAAAGCCUGACGGAGCAACGCCGCGUGAGUGAUGAAGGUCUUCGGAUCGUAAAACUCUGUUAUUAGGGAAGAACAUAUGUGUAAGUAACUGUGCACAUCUUGACGGUACCUAAUCAGAAAGCCACGGCUAACUACGUG